CCUGCUGCAGCCCGUCCUGUCUCCAUGGCGACUCGGCGUCCCAGGCUCGCGGCUCGGAACCCAGCUCAAGUGCGGAGCGGGGCUGGCCUUCCUGGUCUGGCCUUCGCGGAAACUCCUUGGCUGGGCGGCCAGAGGGUUGGGCCUCUGGAACCCCUCGGCUGUCGAAGCACCCGCAGAGAAGUCUUGUCCCUGAGUUUUGUAUUCCUGAAAUUCCCAGGUAUGUGGUAAUAACCAUUUUAUAAGUCUGGUUUGAGGCCUGGGCAUGAUGGUACACAUCUGUAAUCCCAGCCCUUGGGAGGCAGGUGAAUCUUUGUGAGUUCAAAUCCAGUUUGCUCUGUGUAGUGAGUUCUAGGUCAGACAGAGCUACAAAGUAAGACCCUAUCUCAGAAACAAUCCUCUCUGCCCUGGGCCGUGGAGCCAAGUGGAGGGACAAGUGAAUUGUUGUUU
rnacentral:lncRNA from 1 species